CCCAACCUCCGGAGGAGGAAAGGCCGCCCGGGCGCUACCCAACAACAAACCCGGAGGGGAAUGCGCACCUUGGAGCAGGCACGGAUACCGGAGGCAUGGGUGGUAUGGGUGGUCCUUGCUCCCCAUGCCCCGCGACUGUCCCCACGCAGCCUAGACGCUUUUCUUACGCCUGGAGUGCAGACAAGGCCACCUCUACUCAGAACCGCGCAGCACCUUCCCCUGGAACCUGCUGGCUCCUAGGAGUUGUUCUUUUGGUGCCUGACAAGUCACCGUUCUGCCCCUUCUAAGGUGGACUGACUGUUUGAAGGCACAAGCCAGAGACCGCGGCUUCAUGUUUUAAAACAAAUACAGUCCCUAAAAGUUGCUAAGGCCUCAACUUAAAAAAAAAAAAAAAAAAAAAAAAAAAAAAACCUCAAAAAACACGCAAAUGCCACCAACUUUUUUUUAAAGCAUAACUAAGUUUCUUUCGCAACAGUUUGAUUAUAUGCAUUUUAAUAGUUUUUGAGUCACUUCUUUCAAACUGUCUUCACUCUGAAGGAUCUAUAGAAAAAUUGCUUGGUCGCAAACAGGGACUACGGGUUUGAUGGUAAGCCUGGUGGCACUUGCUGGCACCUGCACCUGCAACACUGCCUCCCUAGUAAUUUUCCGUGACUUUGUGCAGCAACAGACACUGCACUUCACCGAUCAUUUUCCUGGCCCUCAGCAAAUGAAUCCUGCUGACUGCCCAUCUGAUGUCCAUGGAUGUUCACAAACUCCAGUUCUACAAUCAACCAUGGUCUACAGACCUCCUUGGUACUGUGGGGACCCUCCUAAUCAGCUCACUUCAGUGGCUUGGUGAGUGGUAGCCUGUGUGCUUAGGAUAUACCUUCUGUCAAGUCUUGGCAACAGAAGAUAAAGCAUUAGCGGAAAAAAGCAUUCAGAUGUAACCCCCCAACACCUCCUCUUAAUUACCUUCCCAUCACCUUUCAUACCCUUAGGAUAGAGAAAUAAACACGAAAUCCUCCCUCA
rnacentral:lncRNA from 1 species